rnacentral:rRNA from 1 species
UACGUAGGGUGCGAGCGUUGUCCGGAAUUAUUGGGCGUAAAGAGCUCGUAGGCGGCUUGUCGCGUCGGAUGUGAAAGCCCGGGGCUUAACUCCGGGUCUGCAUUCGAUACGGGCUAGCUAGAGUGUGGUAGGGGAGAUCGGAAUUCCUGGUGUAGCGGUGAAAUGCGCAGAUAUCAGGAGGAACGCCGGUGGCGAAGGCGGAUCUCUGGGCCAUUACUGACGCUGAGGAGCGAAAGCGUGGGGAGCGAACAGG